rnacentral:rRNA from 1 species
AACGAACGCUGGCGGCAGGCUUAACACAUGCAAGUCGAGCGGAAAGGCUCCUUCGGGAGUACUCGAGCGGCGAAAGGGAGAGUAACGCGUGGAUAUCUACCCCCUGGACUGGGAUAGCGGCGGGAAACUGCCGGUAAUACCAGAUAAUGUCUGCGGACCAAAGGUGUGAUUCCGCCGGGGGAUGAGUCCGCGUCCUAUUAGCUAGUUGGUGAGGUAAUGGCUCACCAAGGCUAAGAUGGGUACCGGGUGUGAGAGCAUGGCCCGGCUCACUGGGACUGAGACACUGCCCAGACACCUACGGGUGGCUGCAGUCGAGAAUCUUCGGCAAUGGGCGCAAGCCUGACCGAGCGACGCCGCGUGCGGGAUGAAGGCCUUCGGGUUGUAAACCGCUGUCAGAGGGGAGGAAAUGCGUGAGGGUUCUCUCUCACGUUUGACCUAUCCUCAGAGGAAGUACGGGCUAAGUUCGUGCCAGCCGCCGCUGUAACAC